CCAUUUCAAUUUUCAAUGUUUCAUCAGCCUAUAGAUAAUUAGAUACUACACAGCAACUGGGUUUCACAUUUUCCUCUUUCACCAACAAAACCCUCUUUUCUUUCCCUCUUAUUCUUCUUUGAUUUUGAGAGUGAAGUGUUAAAGUAGGGAGAGAAACUUUUACCUCUCGAUCUGCUCACGUUGGUCUACAGGUAAAUGUGUAUUUAGAUUCUGAAUGUUGGAUGUCCAAACAAAAAGAUUAGAGAAAGAAAAAGAAAGAGCAAAGAAACUCAAAAUGACGGAGCAAUUUAAGGAAAAUUGGAUUGCAAAUGCCGAAAUGAAAGAACGAGUUCAAUUCACAAUUAGACAUUCAAAUUGAUGAAUGUGGUGUGUUUACUUGGAAGGGAUCAUUUUAACAUUUCGUCUUAUAAAGAUUUCAGGACAAGAAACAAUAUAAAGCAUGGGGAACAAUACUAGGCUAAAGAGAUAACUCUGUUGUGCAUUAAAAAAGGAAGAGGCAAUACGGUUCUGGUUGCAAGUAUGAAUUGAAGACAAUGGUAUUGGGUGCAAGUAUGAUGACAUCGGUUCGGGACGCUAUUGUAUAUCACUUUUAUCAUCUUUAGAGAUAUAUGUAUUUAUCUUACUUUAAAACUCUUGUAAUCUUGUGUUACUU
rnacentral:lncRNA from 1 species